rnacentral:rRNA from 1 species
GACUACGGCCCUACCACCCUGGACGUGCCUGAUCGUGUCUUGAUCUUGGAAGCUAAGCAGGGUCAGGCCUGGUUAGUACUUGGAUGGGAGAAAGAAAGGAAGGAAGGAAGGAAGUUAUAGCUA